AGCACGGGUCACUGCAUCCUGAGGGGUCGUUCCCAGACCCUGAGAUCCCACCCAGCCCCAGUCAAGUCACCUUCUGGGCUGUCUUAUCCCUCAGAUUGUCCCUAUUCCCUUGCCCUUUCCCCAGACCAGGUUCUGGCCUCAGGAGAGAAGGCACAGGGAGACAGAGUUAGAACAGGCGGCCUUGGGAGAUCCAGCAGAUGGGCUGAAUUUCAACUCUCCCCAGGUGACUGGUAACUGUGAUCUUGGGCACAUUGUGGUCCUCUUCCAGCCUGCUUUCCCCUGGACCAGGCUUCAGUCACAUAUUAGGACAGGGCACCCCCCAUGUACCCACUCUGUGCUGACCAUGGAGGUGCUCCUUGGUGGCACUCAGAUCCUUCCAGAUUGUGGUUAACGGUUACUCUAGCUUUCCCACCACACCUUCUGUGUUGGGUCCUGGACUAACCACUUGCAUUUUCUUAUCCUUUCCACAACAAAAUCAGGGAUGCAGUACCCUUGUUCUUUUCUCCAUUUUCCAGUUUUGGAGACUGAGAGAUUGAGAAAGAAAGUCCCUUGCCCAAAGGAGGUGCUGAGCUGGAAUUCUAGCCCAGGCUGACCGCAGCCACCAGGAGUAAUCCACUAAUAAAUACUUGGAAGGUGUUGCGCACAGCUCCUGGCACAGCGCCCAACUCAACAUCUGGGAACUGGUGGGGUGUUAACUCCAUCCACUGGUUUCCCCAUUUCUCAGAGGCCCAGACUAGGAAAAGAGAGCCAGGGUCAGAGGGCUCAGGGAACCUUAAACAGCAAUACCUGGUGUGUGUGCGUGGUGGUUGGGGGGGGGGUGAUUCCAGAGCCAUCAGGAUUGGCCAGAUAAGCAGGUUUCAAACCCUACUCGCUGUGAGCUAUGACUUAGACUCUCUAUAUUUUGGUUUCCUCGUUUCCUCUUCUGGAAAGUAAAUAUGUUCCCCACAUCAUGAGGUUGUUGGGAAAAGGAAAUCAGGUGAUCCAUCUUAAGCACUCAGCACAAUGGCUGCCACACAUCAAACAGUUAAGGGUGGGUAUUAGUACUAUAAUUAUUCUGAUAAAAUUUGAUGGCCCUUUGAACCUCCGCAUCACCUGGGUUCACCUGAGGACAAGGCUCUGUGUGAGUAGCAAGUUAGCAGUUGUUGGGGGGGCGGGGGAUAAGAUACUCCAUCUUCUUGGAGUCCUUAAAAGUCCUUGGGACAGGAUACUCUGUGGGUUUGGGGAAGGCAAAAAGGAU
rnacentral:lncRNA from 1 species